CUCGCUGUGAAGAUGCAGUGUACCCGCGGCAAGACGGAAAGACCCCGUGAACCUUUACUAUAGCUUGACACUGAACAUUGAGCCUUGAUGUGUAGGAUAGGUGGGAGGCUUUGAAGUGUGGACGCCAGUCUGCAUGGAGCCGACCUUGAAAUACCACCCUUUAAUGUUUGAUGUUCUAACGUUGGCCCGUAAUCCGGGUUGCGGACAGUGUCUGGUGGGUAGUUUGACUGGGGCGGUCUCCUCCUAAAGAGUAACGGAGGAGCACGAAGGUUGGCUAAUCCUGGUCGGACAUCAGGAGGUUAGUGCAAUGGCAUAAGCCAGCUUGACUGCGAGCGUGACGGCGCGAGCAGGUGCGAAAGCAGGUCAUAGUGAUCCGGUGGUUCUGAAUGGAAGGGCCAUCGCUCAACGGAUAAAAGGUACUCCGGGGAUAACAGGCUGAUACCGCCCAAGAGUUCAUAUCGACGGCGGUGUUUGGCACCUCGAUGUCGGCUCAUCACAUCCUGGGGCUGAAGUAGGUCCCAAGGGUAUGGCUGUUCGCCAUUUAAAGUGGUACGCGAGCUGGGUUUAGAACGUCGUGAGACAGUUCGGUCCCUAUCUGCCGUGGGCGCUGGAGAACUGAGGGGGGCUGCUCCUAGUACGAGAGGACCGGAGUGGACGCAUCACUGGUGUUCGGGUUGUCAUGCCAAUGGCACUGCCCGGUAGCUAAAUGCGGAAGAGAUAAGUGCUGAAAGCAUCUAAGCACGAAACUUGCCCCGAGAUGAGUUCUCCCUGACUCCUUGAGGGUCCUGAAGGAACGUUGAAGACGACGACGUUGAUAGGCCGGGUGUGUAAGCGCAGCGAUGCGUUGAGCUAACCGGUACUAAUGAACCGUGAGGCUUAACCUUACAACGCCGAAG
rnacentral:rRNA from 1 species